rnacentral:rRNA from 1 species
UUAGUAACGGCGAGUGAAGCGGCAAAAGCUCAAAUUUGAAAUCUGGCACCUUCGGUGUCCGAGUUGUAAUUUGAAGAAGGUAACUUUGGAGUUGGCUCUUGUCUAUGUUCCUUGGAACAGGACGUCACAGAGGGUGAGAAUCCCGUGCGAUGAGAUGCCCAAUUCUAUGUAAAGUGCUUUCGAAGAGUCGAGUUGUUUGGGAAUGCAGCUCUAAGUGGGUGGUAAAUUCCAUCUAAAGCUAAAUAUUGGCGAGAGACCGAUAGCGAACAAGUACAGUGAUGGAAAGAUGAAAAGAACUUUGAAAAGAGAGUGAAAAAGUACGUGAAAUUGUUGAAAGGGAAGGGCUUGAGAUCAGACUUGGUAUUUUGCGAUCCUUUCCUUCUUGGUUGGGUUCCUCGCAGCUUACUGGGCCAGCAUCGGUUUGGAUGGUAGGAUAAUGACUAAGGAAUGUGGCUCUACUUCGGUGGAGUGUUAUAGCCUUGGUUGAUACUGCCUGUCUAGACCGAGGACUGCGU